CGCUCAGAAGGUGGAAUCAGACCAAUCCGCUUUUAAACGGCUACAGAUUUGAAGCCUUCACCACGGACCACCGAAGUUCAUCUGGGC